rnacentral:snRNA from 1 species
AAAUUUGAGGGUGACCUGGUUCUGACAAGCCACCCCACUGAUCACCAGUGUUUUUUCAACUGAUCUUACUGGCUUGCUGGGUGUCCCCUUUCUCCUCCACAGUUUAAGGUUUGUCCUUCUGAAACAGAACACUUGGUCAAAAAGAUACUUUAAAAAAAAAUUAUAGAACUUUCUGUGUUGAUUUCUAUGGUGAUUUCUGUUUAGGUAAACAUCAAAAUUCUGGUUUAUCUGAAUUGAAACAUGACACUUGGAAAUGAAUAACGGGAACAAGAAAUCAUUUUCUUU